rnacentral:lncRNA from 1 species
UUCCCAGAUACGCAGAUCGUUGCCUCCUCUAUAUUCUCAUAAGUUUGAAACUUCUCAAGAUGAACGCCGAAGGACUUUAUGAUUCCUCGAAUAAACUCCAAAAAACAUCCUGCCUACACAUCUGGGAUCUCAAACAUUAUAACUAGUCGAAGAAGAUAAUUGAAAUUGGCCCCAGAAAAAGAUUAACCGAAAAAUGCCACUACAACCGUUGUACCAGAUCUGGUAUUUGUUCAACAGGUGAAAAUGCUAGGAUUACAUCGUUUCAACAUAGAUGCUGAAGAGGUAAUAAAACAAGUAUCCAAAACAUCGAUGUCCGCCAUUGAAGAUGACAGUGUUCUACGUAUGUGCAAUUUAAUCUCUCACAUAUACUAUAU